rnacentral:rRNA from 1 species
GACAGAGGGUGCAAACGUUGUUCGGAAUUACUGGGCGUAAAGCGCGUGUAGGCGGCAUGACAAGUCGGAUGUGAAAGCCCUGGGCUCAACCCAGGAAGUGCAUUCGAUACUGCCGUGCUAGAGUCCCGGAGAGGGUGGUGGAACUCUCGGUGUAGAGGUGAAAUUCGUAGAUAUCGAGAAGAACACCGGUGGUGAAGGCGGCCACCUGGACGGUGACUGACGCUGAGACGCGAAAGCGUGGGGAGCAAACAGG